GAAGAACCUUACCUGGUCUUGACAUCCACGGAAGUUUUCAGAGAUGAGAAUGUGCCUUCGGGAACCGUGAGACAGGUGCUGCAUGGCUGUCGUCAGCUCGUGUUGUGAAAUGUUGGGUUAAGUCCCGCAACGAGCGCAACCCUUAUCCUUUGUUGCCAGCGGUCCGGCCGGGAACUCAAAGGAGACUGCCAGUGAUAAACUGGAGGAAGGUGGGGAUGACGUCAAGUCAUCAUGGCCCUUACGACCAGGGCUACACACGUGCUACAAUGGCGCAUACAAAGAGAA
rnacentral:rRNA from 1 species